AUACUUACCUGGCUGGGGCGUGACCAUGAUAAAAAAGGUGGUUCACCAAGGACAAGCGUCAGCCAUUGCACUCCGGUUGUGCUGACCACUGUGAAUUCCCCAAAUUUGGAAAUCUUGAGUGCAUCAUUUCUGAUAGUGAGGGAUUGCGACUGCGCCUUUCCUUA